rnacentral:rRNA from 1 species
CCCUUAGACGUUCUGGGCCGCACGCGCGCUACACUGACCAGUGCAACAAGCAUCCGUCCUUGGCCGACAGGCCCGGGCAAUCUUUGAACGCUGGUCGUGAUGGGGAUAGACUUUUGCAAUUUUUGGUCUUCAACGAGGAAUUCCUAGUAAACGCAAGUCAUCAACUUGCAUUGAUUACGUCCCUGCCCUUUGUCCACACCGCCCGUCGCACCUACCGAUUGAAUGGUCCGGUGAAGCCUCCGGAUUGGCGCGCACCUCGGUGCCGCCGAGAAGUUGGCUAAACCUUACCAUUUAGAGGAAGGUGAAGUCGUAACA